rnacentral:rRNA from 1 species
GGCCUUGACAUACUAAGAACUUUCCAGAGAUGGAUUGGUGCCUUCGGGAACUUAGAUACAGGUGCUGCAUGGCUGUCGUCAGCUCGUGUCGUGAGAUGUUGGGUUAAGUCCCGCAACGAGCGCAACCCUUUUCCUUAUUUGCCAGCGGGUCAUGCCGGGAACUUUAAGGAUACUGCCAGUGACAAACUGGAGGAAGGCGGGGACGACGUCAAGUCAUCAUGGCCCUUACGGCCAGGGCUACACACGUGCUACAAUGGUCGGUACAAAGGGUUGCUACCUCGCGAGAGGAUGCUAAUCUCAAAAAGCCGAUCGUAGUCCGGAUCGCAGUCUGCAACUCGACUGCGUGAAGUCGGAAUCGUUAGUAAUCGCGGAUCAGAAUGCCGCGGUGAAUACGUUCCCGGGCCUUGUACACACCGCCCGUCACACCAUGGGAGUUUGUUGCACCAGAAGUAGGUAGUCUAACCGCAAGGAGGACGCUUACCACGGUGUGGCCGAUGACUGGGGUGAAGUCGUAACAAGGUAGGCGUAGAUGA